GGGUUGUGAGGUUAAGCGACUAAGCGUACACGGUGGAUGCCCUGGCAGUCAGAGGCGAUGAAGGACGUGCUAAUCUGCGAUAAGCGUCGGUAAGGUGAUAUGAACCGUUAUAACCGGCGAUUUCCGAAUGGGGAAACCCAGUGUGAUUCGUCACACUAUCAUUACGUGAAUACAUAGCGUAAUGAAGCGAACCGGGGGAACUGAAACAUCUAAGUACCCCGAGGAAAAGAAAUCAACCGAGAUUCCCCCAGUAGCGGCGAGCGAACGGGGAGCAGCCCAGAGUCUGAAUCAGCUUGUGUGUUAGUGGAACGGUCUGGAAAGUCCGACGGUACAGGGUGAUAGUCCCGUACACCAAAAUGCACAGGUUGUGAACUCGAAGAGUAGGGCGGGACACGUGGUAUCCUGUCUGAAUAUGGGGGGACCAUCCUCCAAGGCUAAAUACUCCUGACUGACCGAUAGUGAACCAGUACCGUGAGGGAAAGGCGAAAAGAACCCCGGCGAGGGGAGUGAAAAGAACCUGAAACCGUGUACGUACAAGCAGUGGGAGCCUCUUUAUGGGGUGACUGCGUACCUUUUGUAUAAUGGGUCAGCGACUUAUAUUCUGUAGCAAGGUUAACCGUAUAGGGGAGCCGAAGGGAAACCGAGUCUUAACUGGGCGUUAAGUUGCAGGGUAUAGACCCGAAACCCGGUGAUCUAGCCAUGGGCAGGUUGAAGGUUGGGUAACACUAACUGGAGGACCGAACCGACUAAUGUUGAAAAAUUAGCGGAUGACUUGUGGCUGGGGGUGAAAGGCCAAUCAAACCGGGAGAUAGCUGGUUCUCCCCGAAAGCUAUUUAGGUAGCGCCUCGUGAACUCAUCUUCGGGGGUAGAGCACUGUUUCGGCUAGGGGGUCAUCCCGACUUACCAACCCGAUGCAAACUGCGAAUACCGAAGAAUGUUAUCACGGGAGACACACGGCGGGUGCUAACGUCCGUCGUGAAGAGGGAAACAACCCAGACCGCCAGCUAAGGUCCCAAAGUCAUGGUUAAGUGGGAAACGAUGUGGGAAGGCACAGACAGCCAGGAUGUUGGCUUAGAAGCAGCCAUCAUUUAAAGAAAGCGUAAUAGCUCACUGGUCGAGUCGGCCUGCGCGGAAGAUGUAACGGGGCUAAACCAUGCACCGAAGCUGCGGCAGCGACACUAUGUGUUGUUGGGUAGGGGAGCGUUCUGUAAGCCGUUGAAGGUGUAUCGUGAGGUAUGCUGGAGGUAUCAGAAGUGCGAAUGCUGACAUAAGUAACGAUAAUGCGGGUGAAAAACCCGCACGCCGGAAGACCAAGGGUUCCUGUCCAACGUUAAUCGGGGCAGGGUGAGUCGACCCCUAAGGCGAGGCCGAAAGGCGUAGUCGAUGGGAAACAGGUUAAUAUUCCUGUACUUGGUGUUACUGCGAAGGGGGGACGGAGAAGGCUAUGUUAGCCGGGCGACGGUUGUCCCGGUUUAAGCAUGUAGGCGGAGGUUCCAGGUAAAUCCGGUACCUUUUUAACGCUGAGGUGUGAUGACGAGGCACUACGGUGCUGAAGUAACAAAUGCCCUGCUUCCAGGAAAAGCCUCUAAGCAUCAGGUAACACGAAAUCGUACCCCAAACCGACACAGGUGGUCAGGUAGAGAAUACCAAGGCGCUUGAGAGAACUCGGGUGAAGGAACUAGGCAAAAUGGUGCCGUAACUUCGGGAGAAGGCACGCUGAUAUGUAGGUGAAGUGAUUUACUCAUGGAGCUGAAAUCAGUCGAAGAUACCAGCUGGCUGCAACUGUUUAUUAAAAACACAGCACUGUGCAAACACGAAAGUGGACGUAUACGGUGUGACGCCUGCCCGGUGCCGGAAGGUUAAUUGAUGGGGUUAUCCGUAAGGAGAAGCUCUUGAUCGAAGCCCCGGUAAACGGCGGCCGUAACUAUAACGGUCCUAAGGUAGCGAAAUUCCUUGUCGGGUAAGUUCCGACCUGCACGAAUGGCGUAAUGAUGGCCAGGCUGUCUCCACCCGAGACUCAGUGAAAUUGAACUCGCUGUGAAGAUGCAGUGUACCCGCGGCAAGACGGAAAGACCCCGUGAACCUUUACUAUAGCUUGACACUGAACACUGGUCCUUGAUGUGUAGGAUAGGUGGGAGGCUUUGAAGUGUGGACGCCAGUCUGCAUGGAGCCAUCCUUGAAAUACCACCCUUUAAUGGCUGGUGUUCUAACGUGGACCCGUUACCCGGGUUGCGGACAGUGUCUGGUGGGUAGUUUGACUGGGGCGGUCUCCUCCUAAAGAGUAACGGAGGAGCACGAAGGUUAGCUAAUCCUGGUCGGACAUCAGGAGGUUAGUGCAAAGGCAUAAGCUAGCUUGACUGCGAGAGUGACGGCUCGAGCAGGUGCGAAAGCAGGUCUUAGUGAUCCGGUGGUUCUGAAUGGAAGGGCCAUCGCUCAACGGAUAAAAGGUACUCCGGGGAUAACAGGCUGAUACCGCCCAAGAGUUCAUAUCGACGGCGGUGUUUGGCACCUCGAUGUCGGCUCAUCACAUCCUGGGGCUGAAGUAGGUCCCAAGGGUAUGGCUGUUCGCCAUUUAAAGUGGUACGCGAGCUGGGUUUAGAACGUCGUGAGACAGUUCGGUCCCUAUCUGCCGUGGGCGCUGGAGAAUUGAGGGGGGCUGCUCCUAGUACGAGAGGACCGGAGUGGACGCAUCACUGGUGUUCGGGUUGUCAUGCCAAUGGCAUUGCCCGGUAGCUAAAUGCGGAAGAGAUAAGUGCUGAAAGCAUCUAAGCACGAAACUUGCCCCGAGAUGAGUUCUCCCUGAGACUUUAAGUCUCCUGAAGGAACGUUGAAGACGACGACGUUGAUAGGUCGGGUGUGUAAGUGUAGCGAUACAUUGAGCUAACCGAUACUAAUGAACCGUGAGGCUUAACCUUACAACGCCGAAG
rnacentral:rRNA from 1 species